AAAUUGUUGUAGUGAAAAAGCUCGUAGUUGAACCUUUGGAUGGGUCGGCCGGUCUGCCUCGCGGUGUGAACCGGUCGGCUUGCCCCUUCGGUCUGCGAUACGCUCCUGGCCUUAACUUGCCGGAUCGUGCCUUUGGCGCUGUUACCAUGAAGAAAUUAAAGUGCUCAAAGCAAGCCUACGCUCUGUAUACAUUAGCAUGGGAUAACAUCAUCAGAUUUCGAUCCUAUUGUGUUGGCCUUCGUGAUCGGAGUAAUGAUUAACAUGGAUAGUCAGGGGCAUUCAUAUUUCAUAGUCAGAGGUGAAAUUCUUGGAUUUAUAAAAGACGAACAACUGCGAAAGCAUUUCCCAAGGUGGUAUAUCAUGGUUUUUACCAUCUU
rfam:Arabis alpina cultivar Pajares chromosome 7, whole genome shotgun sequence.